ACAAAAGACACGCCGAGGGGCCCGCCGAGGGGCCGUCUGCCCUAGUCCGUUCCCCGCCCGCACUCCCUCCCCGCCGGACGCAGGCGUCAAGUGAGCCCCCGAAGCCCAGCUUUGGGGUGCACAGCGGGGGGUGUGGGGGCGGGGAAGGCGGCGCGGGCUGCGGACUAGCGCCCGGCCUGCGGGGGGAGGGGCACCGCCCCCGCGCGCGCCCCCGAGGUGCCCGGCCCGUGUGGGGGCGGGGAGAAGGCCGCGACCGUACGGUCGCCGCGCCCCAGUUGAAAACGCGCCCGAGCGGGAAGCUAGCUGGCAAAGUGGAAGCCCCAGUCCCGCGCCCACUUUCGGACCGCGCGGCGCGCCAGGGGCGGGGGACCCGCGGGCCUCUUCCCGCCUUCGCUCCCCGCCGAGCGCGGGCCGGUCCGGAGGCUCGGGCCAAGUCGCCUGAGGACAAGUCGGUCGCAGACUCUAGCCCCGGGAGAGGAGGGGCAGCCUGCGGGGCAGUGCGGAGACUGUCAGCGCGUCGCAGGUGUUGGCACCGGGGCCGAGGGACAGGGCUCGCCCUCUUCCUAGGCCGCGGUUCUUGGUGCAAGAUGGCUGUUAUUUUGUAAGCCUCUGAGACAAUGUGCAACACAGCUGUAGCAGUCUAAGGCAGAGUAGGCCUUUCCACCCCUUCGCUGUUUGGAGGAGCGCUGCAGAAUUCUCGUGACAUAAGAGUCUAAUGUCAGACACAGGAGGCUGAAACAGCAGGUAGAAGGAAAAGCUGUUUCCCGCUUUCCUUCUGCCCAGUAGCUUGGGCAACAGACUGCAUAGCUCAAGUUCUCAUUAAGUGACCCACAAACAUCUGAACCGUCCCCAGAUGGUAUUGACCAGGCUACACAACUCUGGGUGAAGGCUUUCGGUAGAAGAGUCACAAAGGUCCCAUAGGGUACUGAUGAAGGACAGAACUAUACAUGUAAUCUGAAGACCUCUCAAAGCAGUCUUAUCAUGAACAUUAUCCUGAAACAGAUAUGUGGAAGUCAGAUAUGAGAGAAGAAAUGGAUUUGGCCAAGGUCACUGAAAUGAGGAACAGACCCUAGAGGGAAAAAAAACAACAACCCAGGCCUCCUGUUUCAUUAUUAUUUAAUGAGUGUUAAGUGUUGAUGAACACAUGCAAUCUGCGAUACUACCCUAAAUGCACAUAUGCAAAAAACCCUCCACAGAGCUGCCAGUGAAAAAUUCCUAUAAUUUGAGCCAAGAAGCAUUUUUUCCCCUCUUGCUUGUUUGUGUUUUGUUUUCAGGAAACUAAAAUAUUUGUUGCUGGAUUUAUCCAAGAAGGCUGCUACAUAUCAAUUGAAUCAGUCAUAUCUUCAAGAAAUGUUAGCUUGUCAUAGAUAGUACUAUCUAUGUAUGCUAGGUUUCCUCAUACAUUCUUCCUGGCUUUAAGCAGAUGUUUCUAAGGGAUGGAAGGACCUUGUCUGGUGAACUACUUCGUGUGGAUUGUGGGUUCUGUGAACCGACUGAAGUUGCCCAUCUCUGACAUGGAAAUAGUAGUUACUUGUGUGAUGGUAGUCGCAAGCUCUUUCUGGAAAUAUGACUGGUUAUCCUCUUAGUAAUCAGGAAGUUUCCAGAUUUGCAAUAUAUAUAUANNNNNNNNNNNNNNNNNNGGGGGAAGCCUUUUUCUUUUCAAGGAUUCUUAAGGGGCACCAGAGGUUAGUCUUUUGUUGUCUUAGAGUCUCCCCGUGUAGCUCUUGGUUUAGCCUGGAACUGACAUGUAGACAUGUAGACCAGCGGGCUGGCCCCCACCUCCCAGGAAUCUGCCUGCUUUCUAAGUGCUGGGAUUAAAGGCACAUGCCAACAGCCCCAGAGGACAGACUCCACUCUGGGAGCUCAGCCACCCCUCAACAUUUGGAGUUUAUCGUAAUGGAAAGAGGGGAGCAAGAGCUUAAAAUCAGGUUAAAAUCUUUGCCUAGAAUAAGAUAAUUAUGGCCGCUAAUUAGGACUUGCUUAUAAGUGAAAGGAUAGGAUAAAUUGGCAAAGCUAGAUGUGAUGGUGAUGGUGCAUGCCUAUAAUCCUAGCAGUUCAGAGUCAGACCCGGGAGGACCUUUGGGAGUAGGAGGUUAGCCUGCUCUCCGGACAGUGUCCCAAACCUGUUAAGCCUACAUGGGAAGACCAUAUCAAAAAGUCAAAACCAAUGCCAGUCACUUCAUUCUUCUUGCUCACUAAGCACAAAAAACUGCUGCCUGUUGGAGAUGUUUCUGAGCACUUACCACCCUUUUCUUUGAGGUGUUGAUUUAAAUCUGUUGUUUGUUUAUGGUCUGUUUCCUGCCAGUAAGAAUAUAAACUCUAGGAAUACUGUUGCCUGUUUCUUCUACUGAAGCAUUGUCCUGCUGCAUACAUACUAACACAUUGGGUUGGAGUCCUUUUUCUUUCUUUUUUUUCUUUUUUUUUUUUUGAGACAGGGUUUCUCUGUGUAGCCCUGGUUGUCCUGGAACUCACUCUGUAGACCAGGCUGGCCUCAAACUCAGAAAUAUGCCUGCCUCUGCCUCCCGAGUGCUGGGAUUAAAGUCGUGUGACACCACACCCAGCAGAGUCCUUUUUCUAUUAGCUGUAAUCAUUGGGAAAUCUCACCCACUCCAUGGAAGUUGUCAUACACAAAAAUAGAUGAAAUAGCACAAUUAACUCACAUGUACCCAUU
ensembl:antisense